UACGGGGGGAGCAAGCGUUGUUCGGAUUUACUGGGCGUAAAGGGCGCGUAGGCGGUCAGCACAAGUCAGUUGUGAAAUCUCCGGGCUUAACUCGGAAAGGUCAACUGAUACUGUGCGACUAGAGUGCAGAAGGGGCAACUGGAAUUCUCGGUGUAGCGGUGAAAUGCGCAGAUAUCGGGAGGAACACCAGUAGCGAAGGCGGCACUCUGGGCCGGUACUGACGCUGAGGAGCGAAAGCGUGGGGAGCAAACAGG
rnacentral:rRNA from 1 species